GCUGUGUUAAGUCUCGCUCUGCCCCACACUCCUUCUCCACCACCCAAUUAAACAGCUCGUUUGGGGAGGAGAGCAGGUCUCUAGGCUUGGAUGCUGCCCGUUCCCAGGAACAGAAUGAGGAAAUCACUGUCCCCAGCAAUACGGCCAUCAAUCAUUACAGAGGUACUGUAGGAGCUCCAAUUAGUAACAGUUUCUUUGAAGAAAGUGAAUGUCCUGCAUAUCAGUAAGAAAAUGUUGAGAAACACCUCCAGUUCAUGGAGAAUCACCAUGUUAUAGCAUCCUUUCCCAUAGUAUGGAGGGGGGAAAGUGUGCAAAAAAAAAAAAGCCAGAGGACAGGCUCUGAAUCAUGUUCUCUGCAUCUAAUGACCUCAUUGUAAGAUGUUCAAGGGCAUGCCUGAAGGAGGGAAGCUGGAAGAACAUCUAUUCUUCUGGAAGAAAUGGUGCAACAACCCACGCCUCGCCAGCACACCCAUGGACCCCCUGGGAUAAGGGUGGCUGGCAGUGUGUGUGCUUUGAGUCACAAAAGCUCACAUUGGUGGGUUUCAGUCUUGAGAAUACUGGG
rnacentral:lncRNA from 1 species